GUCCUUUGCCUUCUUUCUAGACAGAGGAUCGGCCAUGCGGAGUCAUUCAUUUCUUGCCAAAAUCUUCUCCUUGUGUGUUUCUGGCCAAGGUCAAGGGGGAAAGAACGGGAACAUCCUGGAAAAGAGCGCUUCUCUCAGUUCUGUAUGAUCAUGAGCUCACGAGAAUCAGGAAAGUUUUGCCAGGCUGGGUAAUUCCAGAACUGAAGGAGGAGGGGACCCAAAGAGGCCCUGGAGCUCCCUUUAUCCACUUCAUUUGCAGAAGGGUAGGGCCCUCUGCAGGUGCUCUGGCCACAUUGCAUCGUCUGUCUGCCCUGGGCCCUAGGUCAGGGCCACCUGAUCACAUGUGGGGCCUCCUGCUUCCUCGGAGGCUGGUCCCAGGCCUGACACUUGGAAGACAUUCAAAAACUGUUUGUUGGAGUUCCUGUCGUGGCGCAGUGGUUAACGAAUCUGACUAGGAACUAUGAGGUUGCGGGUUCGAUCCCUGGCCUCGCUCAGUGGGUUAAGGAUCCCACAUUGCCAUGAGGUGUGGGGUAGGUCGCAGACGCAGCCCGGAUCCUGUGUUGCUGUGGCUGUGGAGUAGGCCGGCAGCAACAGCUCCGAUUAGACCCCUAGCUUGAGAACCUUCAUAUGCCAAGGGGGUGGCCCUAAAAAGACAAAAAACAAACAAACAAACAAACAAAAAACCCCAAAACCAUUUGUUGAAUGAAUGCACAUGUGAACAAAUGACUUGUUAGCCAAGCUCACAAUUUUGCCCGCGGCAGAGCUCAAAGCAGAGGCCAGAUCUUCUCAUUCCACGUACAGCAUCCCUUCCUUAUGCACACGGCCUCGGCCGUAUUUCAUUUGAUUAAACUUGGACGUUGCUCUGGGGUGAAGAUUUAUGAGACACCAUCUUCGACUUCCUUCCUGGGGAGCAAAGGUGGCCCUUAAAAUAGGGUUAGUGAAACCCUCGUGUCUGAGACUAGCUCUGACCUAACGCAGAGCCCUGGGUUCGAGGCCCCUCCCUGCCAUUUCCAGCUGGUUACCUUGGGGCAAACCAUUUAACCUUGCUGAGGUUAAGAGAAACGGAGGGUUAGGGUUGGCUUAGGGUUUUCCACCUGCGAAGAGGGAGGGUGGUUCUGAUCUUCCCACUCCCCCAAGGGCGCCGCCAAGUCCAAGCACAGCCUUGGGUCUGCUUGUCCUUUGUAAGCACUGGUGUAGAGUCUACACAGAUGUUAAGAGCCUCAAGGGGCAGAUGCAGGAUGGGGAACUGGGGCUGAGUUGCCCUCAGCAAGGCAGCCACCGUGCUCUGGUGUGUCCUGUCCUGAAAGGCUUACGCAGCUGGCACACCCAUGACGGUUGUGUCCAGGUUGGGCAUGGUGGUGCAUUGUUGUCACUUGGGGAUGAUGGGGGACAAGGGAACUCUAUGGUGCUGGGUGGGGGUGGCCAGAGGAGGGGAGAGAGAAGGGGAGCAGACCGGCCAGAGCAUCCCUGAGGGCAGCCCGAGGGCUCCGUGCCCAUCCAGGGGUGGGGAGCCCAUGGUGGGCAUGGGGACAAAGCCGGCCUCUCCCAGGAUGCUGGACAGCGAGCAGGGGUUAGCCCCCAAGGCUUCUUCUUCUGCAGGGGGCAUCGGCUGUAUUGGUGAAAGCUGGUAAGAUGCGGCUCGUUGGCCAAGAAAUCACACGUUCAAGAAAAAGCGUAUCCAGCAAGACAUUAAACAUGGACAGUAGGUUUUUGCCUCUUUUCCAACAGCCUACAUGUUAAAAAAAAAAAAAAUAGGCCAAUUAGUCAAUAUGGUUAAAAAAAAAAAAAAAAAAAAAAAAG
rnacentral:lncRNA from 1 species